GAGUUUGAUCCUGGCUCAGGAUGAACGCUAGCGACAGGCUUAACACAUGCAAGUCGAGGGGCAGCGGGGCGGCAGGCUUGCCUGCCGUUGCCGGCGACCGGCGCACGGGUGAGUAACACGUAUGCAACCUGCCCGUGGCAGGGGGAUAAGCGGGGGAAACCCCGUCUAAUACCGCGUAACGCGGCCUAGGGGACAUCCCAAGGCCGCCAAAGGGAGCAAUCCCGGCCACGGAUGGGCAUGCGGCGCAUUUAGCUAGUCGGCGGGGUAACGGCCCACCGAGGCGACGAUGCGUAGGGGUUCUGAGAGGAAGG
rnacentral:rRNA from 1 species